rnacentral:rRNA from 1 species
GACGAACCGUGCGAACGUUGUUCGGAAUCACUGGGCUUAAAGGGCGCGUAGGCGGCGAUCAAGUCAGAGGUGAAAUCCCACGGCUCAACCGUGGAAGUGCCCCUGAUACUGAUUGUCUCGAGGGAGGUAGGGGCGUGCGGAACGUUCCGGUGGAGCGGUGAAAUGCGUAGAAUAUCGGAAGGAACACCGAUGGCGAAAGCAGCGCGCUGGACCUUUACUGACGCUGAGGCGCGAAAGCCAGGGAGCAAACGGG